rnacentral:other from 1 species
AAUUGUCUGUUGUGUUUAAUGUUGACUAUAUACCCUGAGCCGAUAAAUAAACAUACUAGGAGAUGAGAUAGACUUACUAUUGAGCAAGCCCGCCACGUAGUGGGAAGCCUGCGGUAAUCUUCGAACUUCCGCCUUGAGCCUUCUUGGUUCAGGUUUCUCAACUCGAUACAAUGGACCCUUC